rnacentral:rRNA from 1 species
GACGAACGCUGGCGGCGUGCUUAACACAUGCAAGUCGAACGGAAAGGCCCUGCUUUUGUGGGGUGCUCGAGUGGCGAACGGGUGAGUAACACGUGAGUAACCUGCCCUUGACUUUGGGAUAACUUCAGGAAACUGGGGCUAAUACCGGAUAGGAGCUCCUGCUGCAUGGUGGGGGUUGGAAAGUUUCGGCGGUUGGGGAUGGACUCGCGGCUUAUCAGCUUGUUGGUGGGGUAGUGGCUUACCAAGGCUUUGACGGGUAGCCGGCCUGAGAGGGUUACCGGCCACAUUGGGCCUGAGAUACGGCCCAGACUCCUACGGGAGGCAGCAGUGGGGAAUAUUGCACAAUGGGCCGAAGCCUGAUGCAGCAACGCCGCGUGCGGGAUGACGGCCUUCGGGUUGUAAACCGCUUUCGCCUGUGACGAAGCGUGAGUGACGGUAAUGGGUAAAGAAGCACCGGCUAACUACGUG